rnacentral:sRNA from 1 species
AUUCUGCCCAUGCGGGGAAGGAUGAGAACCUUCGACUAAGGUUCGAUUCGAGCGAAAGCGAGAGAACGUUGCCACAGGCAACGGCCCGAAGGGUGAGGAGCGAAGCGACGAAUAAUCCUUCCCCCACCACCA